rnacentral:rRNA from 1 species
AUUGAACGCUGGCGGCAUGCCUUACACAUGCAAGUCGAACGGUAACGGGCCUUCGGGUGCCGACGAGUGGCGAACGGGUGAGUAAUACAUCGGAACGUGCCCGAUCGUGGGGGAUAACGAGGCGAAAGCUUUGCUAAUACCGCAUACGAUCUACGGAUGAAAGCAGGGGACCGCAAGGCCUUGCGCGGACGGAGCGGCCGAUGGCAGAUUAGGUAGUUGGUGGGAUAAAAGCUUACCAAGCCGACGAUCUGUAGCUGGUCCGAGAGGAUGAUCAGCCACACUGGGACUGAGACACGGCCCAGACUCCUACGGGAGGCAGCAGUGGGGAAUUUUGGACAAUGGGCGCAAGCCUGAUCCAGCCAUGCCGCGUGCAGGAUGAAGGCCUUCGGGCUGUAAACUGCUUUUGUACGGAACGAAAAGCCUUCUUUUAAUACAGGAGGGUCAUGACGGUACCGUAAGAAUAAGCACCGGCUAACUACGUG